AGUGAACGCUGGCGGUAGGCCUAACACAUGCAAGUCGAACGGCAGCACAGUAAGAGCUUGCUCUUACGGGUGGCGAGUGGCGGACGGGUGAGGAAUACAUCGGAAUCUACUUUUUCGUGGGGGAUAACGUAGGGAAACUUACGCUAAUACCUCAUACGACCUACGGGUGAAAGCAGGGGAUCUUCGGACCUUGCGCGUUUGAAUGAGCCUAUGUCGGAUUAGCUAGUUGGCGGGGUAAAGGCCCACCAAGUCGACGAUCCUUAGCUGGUCUGAGAGGAUGAUCAGACACACUGGAACUGAGACACGGUCCAGACUCCUACGGGAGGCAGCAGUGGGGAAUAUUGGAAAAUGGGCGCAAGCAUGAUCCAGCCAUACCGCGUGGGUGAAGAAGGCCUUCGGGUUGUAAAGCCCUUUUGUUGGGAAAGAAAAGCAGCAGGUUAAUAACCAGCUGUUCUGACGGUACCAAAAGAAUAAGCACCGGCUAACUUCGUG
rnacentral:rRNA from 1 species